rnacentral:rRNA from 1 species
GAUGAACGCUGGCGGCGUGCCUAAUACAUGCAAGUCGAGCGAACGGACGAGAAGCUUGCUUCUCUGAUGUUAGCGGCGGACGGGUGAGUAACACGUGGAUAACCUAUCUUUAAGACUGGGAUAACUUCGGGAACCCGGAGCUAAUACCGGAUAAUAUUUUGAACUGCAUGGUUCAAAAGUGAAUGACGGUCUUGCUGUCACUUAUAGAUGGAUCCGCGCUGCAUUAGCUAGUUGGUAAGGUAACGGCUUACCACGGCAACGAUGCAUAGCCGACGUGAGAGGGUGAUCGGCCACACUGGAACUGAGACACGGUCCAGACCCCGACGGGAGGCAGCAGUAGGGAAUCUUCAGCAAUGGGCGAAAGCCUGACGGAGCAACGCCGCGUGAGUGAUGAAGGUCUUCGGAUCGGAAAACUCUGUUAUUAGGGAAGAACAUAUGUGUAAGUAGCUGUGCACAUCGUGACGGUACCUAAACAGAAAGCCACGGCUAACUACGUG